GAAUAAGAAGCGAAAAAUUUGCAUUCAAUUUCGACUUGAAUACUUGGUAACUAUUACCCUUAUUCU
rnacentral:tRNA from 1 species